AAUUAUAAAAUUAAACAAAUGAAAGAAGGAAAAAUGCAUAAAAAGUAUAGCACAAACUUGAAGCUAAUUUAAAUGAAGGAAAACUAUAUAAAAAGUAUUCUUCUAAUGAUAGUGGUGAAUAUUAUGUUAAAGAUGGUAGCAAAUGAUGGAUCAAAUUUAAGUAUUCUUGUUGCCUAUCGAUUCAUCUUUUCUACUGCCUUCAUUGUUCCAUUUGAUGUCCUCUUUGAAAGGUGUACUGUACUUUAUUUCUAUACAUUUUAGUCACGAAAAAUAAUUUUUAUAGUAAAAACUAAUUAUGUAUACAAUUUUUUAUUGCCAUGUUUCACCAGGAAAAGCGAUAAUAGCAUUACUAGCAAGCUUUUCUUUGCGGGUUAUUUGGGGGAUCCUUAUAACAAAACCUAUGCAUUAAUUCUUUGACAUUUGGUAUCAGCAACAUAUAUUUCAGAUGUGUUAAACUUCAUCCCCGCCAUUACCUACAUCAUGGUUGUGUCUCUAAGCCUCUAAGAAUGGAGAAACCAAAUCUUGGAAGAUUGGCUGGAAAGGACAAGCUGCUAGGAACUUUAACUGGAAUUAGUGGUGCCAUGAUCCUCCCUCUAUAUGAUGGCAAGAAGUUAUUUAACUGCUCAAUGCACAUUGACUUAUUGCAACAAUAUAAGACAUUCCCGCUACAUGAUUCCCAUGCUGGAUCUCGCGCGUGGGGCCUCACUCUAGCUUUGGCCACUUCAUUAAAUUUCUCAUUGUCGUAUAUAAUUCAGUUUAAUAGGAGGUGUGUUGAUUGUGUGCGGAUUAUACAUGUUAUUAUGGGGGGAAAGCAAAGAAGCAAAGAAAGUGGAGAGUGAGAAUGAGUCUGCAAAAGACCCUCUCAAAUGUGAUUCAAUACAUAUUUCCAACUCAUCUUUGUGUAGCAGUGAAAAUCACAACGAGAAGAAGGCUGCAAAUGUUGCUCCUGAUACAUCGUCAAUUCUUCACAAUACUUUAGGCUAAGUUUAACAAUUGAAUAUUUGAGGAUAACUAUUUAUUUCAUUAGUUUAUAUUAAGUUAAUCAACUUAUACAAGUAUAACUAAUUACAUAGUUUUAAUUUACUUUCAAAAAA